UACGAAGGGUGCAAACGUUGCUCGGAAUUAUUGGGCGUAAAGCGCACGUAGGCGGCUUUGUAAGUCGGAUGUGAAAUCCCUCGGCUUAACCAAGGAAGUGCAUCCGAAACUACAGAGCUUGAGUACUUAAGAGGAUCGCGGAAUUCCCGGUGUAGAGGUGAAAGUUCGUAGAUAUCGGGAGGAACACCAGUGGCAGAAGGCG
rnacentral:rRNA from 1 species